rnacentral:rRNA from 1 species
GACGAACGCUGGCGGCGUGCCUAAUACAUGCAAGUCGAGCGGACGGAUGGGAGCUUGCUCCCAGACCGUCAGCGGCGGACGGGUGAGUAACACGUGGGCAACCUGCCUGUAAGACUGGGAUAACUCCGGGAAACCGGGGCUAAUACCGGAUAACUCUUUCCCUCACAUGAGGGAAAGCUGAAAGAUGGCAUCUCGCUAUCACUUACAGAUGGGCCCGCGGCGCAUUAGCUAGUUGGUGAGGUAACGGCUCACCAAGGCGACGAUGCGUAGCCGACCUGAGAGGGUGAUCGGCCACACUGGGACUGAGACACGGCCCAGACUCCUAUGGGAGGCAGCAGUAGGGAAUCUUCCGCAAUGGACGAAAGUCUGACGGAGCAACGCCGCGUGAGUGAUGAAGGUUUUCGGAUCGUAAAACUCUGUUGUCAGGGAAGAACAAGUACCGGAGUAACUGCCGGUACCUUGACGGUACCUGACCAGAAAGCCACGGCUAACUACGUG